AGAACGAACGCUGGCGGCAUGCCUAACACAUGCAAGUCGAACGGGACCUUCGGGUCUAGUGGCGCACGGGUGCGUAACGCGUGGGAAUCUGCCCUUAGGUACGGAAUAACUCAGGGAAACUUGAGCUAAUACCGUAUAAUGACUUCGGUCCAAAGAUUUAUCGCCUAAGGAUGAGCCCGCGUAGGAUUAGCUUGUUGGUGAGGUAAAGCUCACCAAGGCGACGAUCCUUAGCUGGUCUGAGAGGAUGAUCAGCCACACUGGGACUGAGACACGGCCCAGACCUCCUACGGGAGCAGCAGGUGGGGAAUAUUGGACAAGUGGGACGAAAGCCUGACUCCAGCAAGUCGCCGCGUGAGUGAUGAAGCGUUAGGUGUAAGUCUUCGUUUACCGGAUCGAUAUGACAGGUACGGA
rnacentral:rRNA from 1 species